AGCGAGGACAUCCCUCCUGCUCCUCAUGGCGCAGGCCCGGGAGGGAGGAGGGCAUCCUGCCAGCCCAGCGCAUCAACUUUCCUCUGACAAAGGUCAGCCUGCCCGGAAUAAGGAAAUACCCGCAGCCGGGUAAGGUAAAUCCAAACCUGAAAAUACAGACACUGAGCAUUUCAGUCAACACGGCCUGCAGUGUCCUUGCAGAGCACUGUUUAUGAGGCAAUAAACCAUAAUGACUCUAUGUUGGAACCCACAAGAUCUCCUUGAAGGUUUAGGACAGAUACUGCUAGUUCAGGCUCCAGGAGGCCUGGAAGGUGAGGCUGGGGCGGCUCCUUGGCCUUUGCCUCAAAGUUGCCGGUUUCCCCUAAAUGGGGCGCACCAGCCCCUGGAGGGGCUGCCUUGAGAGCAUACAUUCUAGCUGGGGAGAUUAAAACAAAGCCAUCUAUGCAGCAGAGAAUGAGAGGCCCGGGAAGGACACGCAGCAGGGUUAGGUGUGGCAUGUCUGAGGAAGGAAGGGGCCACUCAGCGCAGUUACCAAAAUGGUGACCACGAAGGGACCUAGGAAGAGCCCUAGUUUCCCCCAGCGUGAUUGGAGGUCCACAAACCAGCGUCUGUAGGAACCCAUUGAUAGCUCAGUUGUCUCCCCAACCUUGCUGGGAGAAACUCAGGUAAGCUGGGAUCCAAGAUCUCCUGCUUUUAAAACAAAGAUCUCAGAGAUUUUAUUUCUCUCCACCCCUUUCCUUCAUUUCUCCCCAGUUCUGGUCCCCUCCAUUCCAGACUCCAGAGGGAAUGUUUUUAUAGGUCCCAAGUUUGGGGUGGGGGGUUCCUUGUCAGACUCAGCCUGUCCAUAAGGGUUUAUGAAGACACUCUCAUAAGGUAAGCACAGUUAUAAAAACCUUAGUUUUAAGGAAAUGGUCUCCUAUCCACUGCCAUCACAGACACUAGUGACUAAUGUGCUUUAAAAAACUAUAAAAAAUUCUUAUAAAUGUUUGACAUCUAACCCAAAAUUAUUUAAAGCUUUCCUGGCCACAAUAAAAUCUUAGGAGACCUUUAGUUUAUCUGCACUCUCAGUUAAAACAAAGAGGUUAUCAAACCUUCCAAAACAAUGAAGAUAAUGCUAUAAUUGGGUUGCAAGUUUUCCAAAUGGGAUCAAGAGUCUCUGAUGGCUUCCCUUAAUGACUGCAAGUUAAAAAAAACUCACCAAAAUGGUGCAAGUGAAAUAUUUAGAGUUUACUCUUUCCCUCUUUCUUACCUCUUCUUUCCAUCUCUGCUCCUAAACAAUUGGUUUUUUUCUUCCCAACUAGUUUUUUUUUUUAAUUGGUCCAAAUGUUAACCUUUGUUUUUCUUCUUCUGUUUGAAAAGCUCCUAUGAUACCAGCUCCUGGAAUGGGACACAGCUGCCUAACCAAACUUAUUUAUUCACAGAACUACAAAAUUGACUCAAGAAGGUAUGGGAAGAUAUGUUUAAAUUUGGGUUUUUUUUUUCCUCAUUAUCCCAAUUUGGGUUUUUUCCCCACUCACUCUUUUAUCUAUCUCUAACAAUCUCUA